UUGAACGCUGGCGGCAGGCCUAACACAUGCAAGUCGAGCGGUAACACAGAGAGCUUGCUCUCGGGUGACGAGCGGCGGACGGGUGAGUAAUGUCUGGGAAACUGCCUGAUGGAGGGGGAUAACUACUGGAAACGGUAGCUAAUACCGCAUAACGUCGCAAGACCAAAGUGGGGGACCUUCGGGCCUCAUGCCAUCAGAUGUGCCCAGAUGGGAUUAGCUAGUAGGUGGGGUAACGGCUCACCUAGGCGACGAUCCCUAGCUGGUCUGAGAGGAUGACCAGCCACACUGGAACUGAGACACGGUCCAGACUCCUACGGGAGGCAGCAGUGGGGAAUAUUGCACAAUGGGCGCAAGCCUGAUGCAGCCAUGCCGCGUGUGUGAAGAAGGCCUUCGGGUUGUAAAGCACUUUCAGCGGGGAGGAAGGCGGUGAGGUUAAUAACCUCAUCGAUUGACGUUACCCGCAGAAGAAGCACCGGCUAACUCCGUGCCAGCAGCCGCGGUAAUACGGAGGGUGCAAGCGUUAAUCGGAAUUACUGGGCGUAAAGCGCACGCAGGCGGUCUGUCAAGUCGGAUGUGAAAUCCCCGGGCUCAACCUGGGAACUGCAUUCGAAACUGGCAGGCUAGAGUCUUGUAGAGGGGGGUAGAAUUCCAGGUGUAGCGGUGAAAUGCGUAGAGAUCUGGAGGAAUACCGGUGGCGAAGGCGGCCCCCUGGACAAAGACUGACGCUCAGGUGCGAAAGCGUGGGGAGCAAACAGGAUUAGAUACCCUGGUAGUCCACGCCGUAAACGAUGUCGAUUUGGAGGUUGUGCCCUUGAGGCGUGGCUUCCGGAGCUAACGCGUUAAGUCGACCGCCUGGGGAGUACGGCCGCAAGGUUAAAACUCAAAUGAAUUGACGGGGGCCCGCACAAGCGGUGGAGCAUGUGGUUUAAUUCGAUGCAACGCGAAGAACCUUACCUGGUCUUGACAUCCACAGAACUUUCCAGAGAUGGAUUGGUGCCUUCGGGAACUGUGAGACAGGUGCUGCAUGGCUGUCGUCAGCUCGUGUUGUGAAAUGUUGGGUUAAGUCCCGCAACGAGCGCAACCCUUAUCCUUUGUUGCCAGCGGUUAGGCCGGGAACUCAAAGGAGACUGCCAGUGAUAAACUGGAGGAAGGUGGGGAUGACGUCAAGUCAUCAUGGCCCUUACGACCAGGGCUACACACGUGCUACAAUGGCAUAUACAAAGAGAAGCGACCUCGCGAGAGCAAGCGGACCUCAUAAAGUAUGUCGUAGUCCGGAUUGGAGUCUGCAACUCGACUCCAUGAAGUCGGAAUCGCUAGUAAUCGUAGAUCAGAAUGCUACGGUGAAUACGUUCCCGGGCCUUGUACACACCGCCCGUCACACCAUGGGAGUGGGUUGCAAAAGAAGUAGGUAGCUUAACCUUCGGGAGGGCGCUUACCACUUUGUGAUUCAUGACUGGGGUG
rnacentral:rRNA from 1 species